rnacentral:rRNA from 1 species
UACGAGGGGGGCAAAUGUUGUUCGGAAUCACUGGGAGUAAAGGGAGCGUAGGCGGGUUCUUAAGUUAGGUGUUUAAUCCCGGGGCCCAACCCCGGACCGGCACUUAAAACUGGGAAUCUUGAAUAGUGGAGAGGUCGGUGGAAUUGGAGGUGUAGCGGUAGAAUGCGUAGAGAUCUCCAAGAACACCAGUUGCGAAGGCGGCCGACUGGACACAUAUUGACGCUGAGGCUCGAAAGCAUGGGGAGCAAACAGG